UUAAGUGAUCCGCCAGCCUUGGCCUCCAAAAGGGCUGGGAUUACAGGCACGAGCCACCUUGCCUGGCUCCAAUUUCUUGAUAAUUUGUUUCAUUACCCUAGGCAAUUGUCAGGUAGAUAGCCCUAAAUUUGUAUACCGAAGGAACAACUCUCAGGUGAAAAUCAGCAAAAUUUACUUCUCAAAGGAAAGAGAGAGAGAGAAUCUGUUGUGUUAACAGGGUGAUUAAAAAAUGGAUACCAAGUCAAACAUAAAAUUACAGAAAUCUACCACAGGAUUGUAUAAAGAGACCAAUCACACUUAGAUAGUUUUAAACGUAGUCUCUGUUUUAACUGGAUCUCUGAGCUCUGAGCACAGCCCACAUUCAAUCCUGGGUCUCCAAAAAGGAGAGAGAAAUCAUGGGACUAGGCCACAUAAUGCUUUUAUGGUGUUACUUUGUUACAAAGAUGUUGCUUGAGUGUCUAAGCACCCUUUCUUAUUCUAAACUCCCAAGAGUAGCCCCUGUAAUAAUAACUAUUUCAGUUAAAAAAAAUCAGAAAACAAAAUAUAGAAGCAAGGAGUUUAAGAUCUGAGAGGAACUUGUUUAUACUCUUAGGGUUCCAUAAGGAAAAACAGAGGUUUUGCCCCCAGAAGGAGUCUGGCAUCUUCUCUGUUUUCUUUAAGGAAUCCCAGCUCCAAUUUCUUGAUAAUUUGUCUCAUUACCAUUGUUAAAAUUAUUUCCAGUGCCUCAUGCAGCAGAGGGUGGGAAGAGAAAGGAGAGACAGGCAGAAGUAAAUAGAAAAAGCAGAAUUCAGUUGACUGAGAAGAAAAAAACUUUUUUACAAAAACACGUUCCUAGAAGACAAAAAAACAUAAAGUCCUUUUACAUACACACACACACACACACACACACACACACACACGGAUUGCGGAUACUAUCUUUUAAUUAAGCUGCCUUUUAACUGUUGAGGUCUUAAAAAAUCCUUUUAAAUAUUAUUACCAUAUUUUAGCUGGGAAAAGCUGCUGAUAUUUCAAAGGUAAAAUAAAUCUCAAACCAGAAAGGACUUGAUUCAUAACCAACCAACCCAGGCUGUCAUGCUAAAAAAAAGGGCAGAAUCUUUGCUGCUGAACUACUGCAUAGGGUGACUACCAUUGCUCCUUUAGUUUAGUUUGGCUAGCAGAAGGUGGUCUUGCCAUGUAAAUAAAGCCUCUCAGGUAAUCAAAAUGUUUCUUUUUUUACUUUUGCUGGUGUUUUUUUCUUUUCUUUUUUUUUUCAGCUACAGGAAUUUAGCCAAUUCAGAGGAAAUCUUCCCCAUAAUUAUGGAACUUUCUUACAGAUUUUACCAAGUCUGGUCAACCCAAUAAGAAAAAGACUGAAAUAACAACAACAACUUCAACAAAUAAAAAAAAACAGUUAAGCUAAAUAAACAGAUGAUUGCAGAAUUUAUGUGAUUACUGGGUACUCUAAUGGUAAGGAGAAAUUAAGACCAGCUAGUUGUUAAUCUUAACUUUUAGUCAUUAAGGAGAAUUUCCAAGACAAAACUGCAAUCCAGCUGCUUACCUAGGAAUACGGCUUAGGCUGAAAACUUCUAUCGUCUUAGAAAUGGGAAUAAACCUCACACUCACCGUCCCUGUUGGAAGCAAGCUGAAACUCCAAAAAAAAAGUUGCCUGUUGUCCAUCAUCAUGGUGAAGCGGCGUCGUUGUCUGGGAACCCAAUUGGAGACGUUGGAUAUUUUAUCAAGUCUUUGACUGGAAUGACAUUUUUUCAGAAAUAACCAGACUGCUUUGAGGAAUUAAAAUUGACUUUAAGGGCUGAGAAAAACCCCUUGGAAAAACUGGCAUGGUACCCUCUGCAUGCAAUUCCUUUACAAAGCUCCUGACCUGUGUUCUGAAGGCUGGGAAGUCCAAGAUUAAGGCGUCAACAGGUCUUGUGUCUGCUGAGGGCUGUCUCCCUGAUUUGCAGAUGUCUGCUUUCUUGCUGUGUCCUCACAUGGGAAAAAGAGAGAGAAUUUGCUGGUAUUCCUUUUUAUAAGGACACUAACCCCAUUCAUGAGGGUCCCACCCUCAUGACCUCGCCUAAACCUAUAACCUCCAAGGACUCCAUUUCCAAAUACCAGCAACCACAUGUGUGAGCUUAGAAGAGGAUCCUUCCCCAGGUGAGCCUUGAGAUGACCCUGGCCUGUGACUUGAUGGCAGCUUUUGAGAGACUGAGCCAGAGGCCUCCAGGUAAGCCCUUCUCAGAUUCCUGAACCACAGAAACUGUGAGAUAAUCAAUUUUAUUGAUAUCUUGUGGAUAUUGAUAUCCCCAGUUUUAUUGUGGAAUAGAUAACUGCCACACAGCUCCUGACAACUGGCAUCUUGACACAUGUUCUGUGCUCCAGGUCCCAGUAACUGUGCCCAUCCAUUGUUACCACAGGUCACAGUGGCCCUGGCCCUGGGGCAUUAUACUCUCUCUUGGUGUAUUAGUCCAUUCUUAGGCUGCUAAUAAAGAUAUA
rnacentral:lncRNA from 1 species